rnacentral:lncRNA from 1 species
UAACGAACAGAUUCAAAACAGUCUUAUUAAUGAGGCAUGUUCAAUUCUAUUAACUACUGCUAUGAACUAUUAAUCCAGAAUUACCAACACUUAUAUUAUAACAAUGAAUUCCGGGCCAUUAAACUUAAAGUGGCCAUCAUACUGAUUUCAAAAUCAACUGCAUCCUAGAAAAACAGUCUAGUAUAAUGUAUAUGACAGGAAACUGAGAUUCUAUUAAUCAACAUAAGUUAUAUCAGAUUGUUAGAUAUAGAAUGCUUCCAGGAAUACACAUCUAAUUAGUUCAGCUAAAUAAUAUUGAUGUUCUAAAUUCUAGAAUCUAUUAUAACAGCCCAACACAAUCCACAAAUUAAAACAAAGAGUCCAAACAAUUGUCCUAAUUAUAAUUAAGCAAGAACAGCUACUACGUAUGGAAGGCUAAUCAAACAUUCAAAAAAACUCAGAUUACAAGUAAAAUUCUGCUUCAUUGAUUUCCUCAAAUGGUUCAUAUACGUAAAUCAAGCCUUCUGUUCAGUAGAGGUGGUGAAAGUGUACCUGGAUAUGGAAUUUUUAACAGCAGAAGAAGAUCAGCAGUAGCAACAUAACAGCAAACCAAGAGAUAAGCAAACAACAACAAUGCACAGCCUAGAAAAAUGGUUUGAAACCAGACGAAAAUGAGAGAUCAACUCGAAUCAGUUCCAAAACAGGCCCAAAGACCUUGAAAAUUACCCAGAAUACAUUCAACACUUCCAGCAAAACCCAAUCUCGAUCAAGCCUAGCUUAAUUUGACAUACACCCACUCAAAAUUAGCUCAUAUGUCACUGAAACCUCAAUCACCAGACCUUGAACUAUGAAAACUUGAAAUUAAACUUAAAAUUCCAAUGCACUAAUUGUUUUUUUGUUUUUCUAUUAGAUUUUCUAUUGUUUUUUUGUUAUUGGAAUUUAAAUUUUAAAAUCUAGAUCUGAAAAUGAGCAUAUGCCUUUGGGGGAAGUUUUUGAUGGCCGCUGAACUUGUCAUGAAGGCAAGGUACAUCCCUGUUAUAAGCAUAGAGGAGGGCGGCCUCACCAUUUCAGUUUGCACAUUCAGUCCCUCAUUAUUUUCAACUUUGGUCUUUUUACUCAUUGACUUGUUACCAAGUUACACUCUUACUUUACUGAAAUGUACCUUAACACCCACAUCUAGAAGGUUCUAGGAAAUUUUAGUUAAGUUCCAUACUCCUGAAUUGCCCCAAUUGCCAUUAUUUAUCCUAAAAUUACUGGUCAAGUACAGCUAUUCCAAAAAAAUCCUAAGAUCUGAAUUUCAACUAGAAAAAAUGUAAUCCCAAUUCAACUAUUAACUAAUAUAUCUAUUGAAACCAUUUAACAGCAACAAUCAUUAAAACUAAUCACAAACUGAAACUUAAUCAGAAUAAAUGACAUUCAAAUAUUCAUUGACUAACAGACUCAUAAGUCACCAAACAGAAAAAAUUGAGGCCAAUCCAACUAUUAACGAAACAUAAACUAACACCUAUAAACUAAGAUGAAUCAGCAAAUAAGAACCAAGAUGAAACAAAUUUUGAGACGAAAUUGAAGAAACUUAAUGACUUUCAGGUUAAAAAUUAUUAACAAAAAAUGAAAAUUAAGAUAAUGGCAAACAGAAGAAGAAAAAAGAAAACAAAACGGGAAACUUACUGGGGUAUUUUCAAACAGGCUAAGGUCCCGAUUUGAAAUUAAUUCAAUUCCGGUGAGACUUGAGUGUUAUUUCCGCUAGAUUCUUCAUGCAAGGGACAAGGAAGUUGCAUAAUAUCCAUUUGAAAAAGUUUGGGGAACUAGUGUUUUUGUCCGGAAAAGUUCAAAUCAAAAUUCGAACAAUUCUGGCCAUAUUUGAGAGUCAAGGCUUUGAGGGUUCGAUAGAGGAGGUCCACGCGGAUUUGGGGUGUUAAUUUUGGCAAGUUUGGGUGAGGUAGUGACUUGGCCGGAGAAUUUAAAAUCAAGAUUCGAAGACUUGGAAAAGGAUUCAAGGGACAUGAAUGGUGGAUUCAGAUAGAGGAGGAAGAGGGGAAUUUGGGGUGUUAUUUUGCGGCGGAUUGGCGGUGGUGGCAUUCACCGGCGGUGAUGGAAAACUAGGGCGGCGCCUGCUAAGGUUUCUGUAAGAAGGGAGACAAAGAAGACUAAA